UACGGAGGGUGCAAGCGUUAUCCGGAUUCACUGGGUUUAAAGGGUGCGUAGGUGGGCAGGUAAGUCAGUGGUGAAAUUUCCGGGCUUAACUCGGAAACUGCCAUUGAUACUAUCUUUCUUGAAUACCGUGGAGGUCAGCGGAAUAUGUCAUGUAGCGGUGAAAUGCUUAGAUAUGACAUAGAACACCAAUUGCGAAGGCAGCUGGCUACACGAAUAUUGACACUGAUGCACGAAAGCGUGGGGAUCAAACAGG
rnacentral:rRNA from 1 species